UUAAUCGGAAUUACUGGGCGUAAAGCGAGCGCAGACGGUUACUUAAGCAGGAUGUGAAAUCCCCGGGCUCAACCUGGGAACUGCGUUCUGAACUGGGUGACUAGAGUGUGUCAGAGGGAGGUAGAAUUCCACGUGUAGCAGUGAAAUGUGUAGAGAUGUGGAGGAAUACCGAUGGCGAAGGCAGCCUCCUGGGAUAACACUGACGUUCAUGCUCGAAAGCGUGGGUAGCAAACAGGAUUAGAUACCCUGGUAGUCCACGCCCUAAACGAUGUCAAUUAGCUGUUGGGCAACUUGAUUGCUUAGUAGCGUAGCUAACGCGUGAAAUUGACCGCCUGGGGAGUACGGUCGCAAGAUUAAAACUCAAAGGAAUUGACGGGGACCCGCACAAGCGGUGGAUGAUGUGGAUUAAUUCGAUGCAACGCGAAGAACCUUACCUGGUCUUGACAUGUACGGAAUCCUCCAGAGACGGAGGAGUGCCUUCGGGAGCCGUAACACAGGUGCUGCAUGGCUGUCGUCAGCUCGUGUCGUGAGAUGUUGGGUUAAGUCCCGCAACGAGCGCAACCCUUGUCAUUAGUUGCCAUCAUUUAGUUGGGCACUCUAAUGAGACUGCCGGUGACAAGCCGGAGGAAGGUGGGGAUGACGUCAAGUCCUCAUGGCCCUUAUGACCAGGGCUUCACACGUCAUACAAUGGUCGGUACAGAGGGUAGCCAAGCCGCGAGGUGGAGCCAAUCUCACAAAACCGAUCGUAGUCCGGAUUGCACUCUGCAACUCGAGUGCAUGAAGUCGGAAUCGCUAGU
rnacentral:rRNA from 1 species